GACGAACGCUGGCGGCGUGCUUAACACAUGCAAGUCGAACGGAAAGGCCCUGCUUUUGUUGGGUGCUCGAGUGGCGAACGGGUGAGUAACACGUGAGUAACCUGCCCUUGACUUUGGGAUAACUUCAGGAAACUGGGGCUAAUACCGGAUAGUAGCUCCUUCUGCAUGGUGGUGGUUGGACAGUUUCGGCGGUUGGAGAUGGACUCGCUGCUUAUCAUCUUUUUGGUGGGGUAUUGACUUACCAAGGCUUUGACGGGUAGCCGGCCUGCGAGGGUGACCGGCGACAUUGGGAAUGAGAUAGAGCCCAGACUCGUACGGGAGGCAGCAGUGGGGAAUAAUGCACAAAGGGCGGAAGCCGGAUGCAGCAACGCCGCGUGCGGAAUGACGGCCUUAGGGUUGUAAACCGCUUUCGCCUGUGACGAAGCGUGAGUGACGGUAAUGGGUAAAGAAGCACCGGCUAACUACGUG
rnacentral:rRNA from 1 species